AUUGAACGCUGGCGGCAGGCUUAACACAUGCAAGUCGAGCGGGGGAAGGUAGCUUGCUACCGGACCUAGCGGCGGACGGGUGAGUAAUGCUUAGGGAUCUGCCUAUUAGUGGGGGACAACAUCUCGAAAGGGAUGCUAAUACCGCAUACGUCCUACGGGAGAAAGCAGGGGAUCUUCGGACCUUGCGCUAAUAGAUGAGCCUAAGUCGGAUUAGCUAGUUGGUGGGGUAAAGGCCUACCAAGGCGACGAUCUGUAGCGGGUCUGAGAGGAUGAUCCGCCACACUGGGACUGAGACACGACCCAGACUCCUACGGGAGGCAGCAGUGGGGAAUAUUGGACAAUGGGGGGAACCCUGAUCCAGCCAUGCCGCGUGUGUGAAGAAGGCCUUAUGGUUGUAAAGCACUUUAAGCGAGGAGGAGGCUACUUUAGUUAAUACCUAGAGAUAGUGGACGUUACUCGCAGAAUAAGCACCGGCUAACUCUGUG
rnacentral:rRNA from 1 species